rnacentral:rRNA from 1 species
AGAGUUUGAUCCUGGCUCAGAACGAACGCUGGCGGCGUGCCUAAAAAGCAAGUCGAGCGAGAAAGCCCCCGCAAGGGGGUGAGUAAAGCGGCGAACGGGUGAGUAACACGUGGGCAACCUGCCCUUCAGUCAGGAAUAACCCCGCGAAAGCGGGGCUAAUACCGGAUAACGUCCCUUGGGGGCAUCUUCGGGGGACCAAAGGGGGCGAGCGCAAGCGGCUCCCGCUGAUGGAUGGGCCUGCGGCUGAUUAGCUAGUUGGUGGGGUAACGGCCUACCAAGGCGACGAUCAGUAGCCGACCUGAGAGGGUGACCGGCCACACUGGGACUGAGACACGGCCCAGACUCCUACGGGAGGCAGCAGUGGGGAAUAUUGCGCAAUGGGGGAAACCUUGAUGCAGCGACGCCGCGUGGGUGAUGAAGGCCUUCGGGUCGUAAAGCCCUGUCGUAGGGGAAGAACCGGUGGACGGCUAAUACCCGUCUGCCCUGACGGUACCCUACAAGAAAGCACCGGCUAACUCCGUGCCAGCAGCCGCGGUAAUACGGAGGGUGCGAGCGUUGUUCGGAAUUACUGGGCGUAAAGCGCGUGCAGGCGGCCGACUAAGUCAGGUGUGAAAGCCCGGGGCUCACCUCCGGAAGUGCGCUUGAAACUGGUCGGCUAGAGUACGGGAGAGGGAAGCGGAAUUCCUGGUGUAGCGGUGAAAUGCGUAGAUAUCAGGAGGAACACCGGCGGCGAAAGCGGCUUCCUGGACCGAUACUGACGCUGAGAC